GCCUGUAUGAAGUCGGAAUUGCUAGUAAUCGUGGAUCAGCAUGCCGCGGUGAAUACGUUCCCGGGCCUUGUACACACCGCCCGUCACACCAUGGGAGCCGGUAAUACCCGAAGUCAGUAGUCCAACCACGUGAGGACGCUGCCGAAGGUAGGAUUGGCGACUGGGGUGAAGUCGUAACAAGGUAAC
rnacentral:rRNA from 1 species